rnacentral:rRNA from 1 species
UACGUAGGGGGCAAGCGUUGUCCGGAUUUAUUGGGCGUAAAGAGCGUGUAGGCGGCCAGGCAGGUCGGUUGUGAAAACUAGAGGCUCAACCUCUAGACGUCGACCGAAACCAUCUGGCUAGAGUCCGGAAGAGGAGAGUGGAAUUCCUGGUGUAGCGGUGAAAUGCGCAGAUAUCAGGAAGAACACCCGUGGCGAAGGCGGCUCUCUGGGACGGUACUGGCGCUGAGACGCGAAAGCGUGGGGAGCGAACAGG